rnacentral:tRNA from 1 species
GGAGAGAUUCAGGAGUGGUUUAACUGGCACGCUUGGAAAGCGUGUGUGCCGCAAGGCACCGAGGGUUCGAAUCCCUCUCUCUCCGCUA